rnacentral:misc_RNA from 1 species
GAUGAAGAACGCAGCGAAAUGCGAUAAGUAAUGUGAAUUGCAGAAUUCAGUGAAUCAUCGAAUCUUUGAACGCACCUUGCGCCCUUUGGCUAUUCUGAAGGGCAUGCCUGUUUGAGUAUCAUGAACACCUCAACUCUCAUGGUUUGCCAUGAUGAGCUUGGACUUUGGGGGUCUUGCUGGCCUACGGUCGGCUCCUCUCAAAUGAAUCAGCUUGCCAGUGUUUGGUGGCAUCACGGGUGUGAUAACUAUCUACGCUUGUGGUUUUCCACCAAGUUUAACCCCCAGCGAUGGAGGUUGGCUGGGGCUCACAAACGUCGUCUCUCUUCGGCGGGGACAGCUCUUUGAACGUUUGAUCUCAAAUCAGGUAGGACUACCCGCUGAACUUAAGCAUAUCAAUAAGCGGAGGA